rnacentral:rRNA from 1 species
GAUGAACGCUGGCGGCGUGCCUAAUACAUGCAAGUCGAACGCUUCUUUCCUCCCGAGUGCUUGCACUCAAUUGGAAAGAGGAGUGGCGGACGGGUGAGUAACACGUGGGUAACCUACCCAUCAGAGGGGGAUAACAUUUGGAAACAGAUGCUAAUACCGCAUAAAUCCAAGAACCGCAUGGUUCUUGGCUGAAAGAUGGCGUAAGCUAUCGCUUUUGGAUGGACCCGCGGCGUAUUAGCUAGUUGGUGAGGUAACGGCUCACCAAGGCAAUGAUACGUAGCCGAACUGAGAGGUU